AUGGCCCAGUCUGUCCUGUGGGGUUGCUCUCCCAAUGUCCAGCAUGCGGCCACCUCCCAGAGCCCUGAUUUGGAGGGCUUUUCCAGGGCUGGCUGCAACCUCAGCCCACAGUCCCCACACUGGGACAUGUCAGCAGAGCCUGAGCACUUGAAGGAGUCCUCCAUGUAUCCUACUCCAAAACCCUGCUCUUCCCACCUUCUCCUUUUAUUCCUUCUCUUUCUGCUCCCCCGAAUGAUAAGGCCCCACAUUGAGGCCAUGUCUUGCAUUCUGCACUCCCUACCUUUCUUCCCCCAGCACCUCGCCUGCCUUCUCAGGGACCCAGUGGUGAAGUGCCCUUGGUGGAAUCUUGGGAUUCUCGAAGGAGAAGAUGCCCACCAGAGUGCAGCAUUCCUGAGGUCCUCGGUGGCAGGAUGGCUUCCAAAGAUCCCAGCCGGCUGGAUUCCGCCAACAUCACCUCCUCGGAGAAGCCUUCCGGGCCUAGGCUGACCCUGCCCAGGCUCCCACCAGGCUCCACUGGACCCUCUCCCGGCCUGCGAGCUGUUGGCAUCCCAUCAGCAGUCUGAGAAGAUGGAGUCCUAUCAGGCAGCUGGGAGGUCCCAAGCUGGGAUGCAGGAAUCUGGAUUCCUGUCCCUUUGCUCCACCACAAACCACCUUAUAUAAGUUAUACCUCCUUCUUACACCUCAACAUACCCAUCUGUAAAACAGGUAGGCCGAGUAUAUCAUGCAGAGUGAUGCUGGUGGGCAGUUUUUCAAAUUGUGCUACCUGGCACCCUAGGGGUUAAUCAAAGCCACUCCUGGUGGUGGCCGCUGGGGGCGGGCUUCAAGGUUAGGAGUCGAUAGGUGGCCCCAGCCUACCACCCCCACUUCAGUCAGAGUGACUACCCUCAUGUGUUUUAGUCAUUGAGCCGCUGCUAAAGGUGUUUGAAACCCCACAGCAGACAAGACAUUCUCUAAAAGUCCUUCCAGAUUCCAAGUCCUCCCCCUCCCCCCAUGUUGCUGGCCCACCUACCCAAACCAAGCCUCUGUUCUGGGCAGAGCUGGGCAUCCUUGAUCUCCUGGGGUAUUUGAGCCCAGUGGGUGAGAUACAGGCACUCCUUGUCAGGGGCUGCAGUUGAGAGGCUCACACCCCACAGGGGUUGCAAAAAACAGAAGCUAGGGUUCCUUUUCUCUCUAGACAGGGGCAUAUCUGGUGCCUCUAAGACCCAAGACCUGUGCGCUGGUGUGAGGGUCAUGGACUUCAGGACCCUCUUGACCCCUCUUGAGCCCAGCUCUGCAUGGCCUCUGUGCUGCAGGGAAGUGCCGAGGACAAGGUCUCCUCGCAGAGAUCACAUCAGACGGGCAGGCGGGUGGCCCAGAUAAGCUCCUGUCUACCAGCAGGGACUGGAUGUUCCAGCCACCGCAGCUUCAGGGAAUGACUCAGCCACUCCUAGAGCACACGGUGCCCCCUGCAUGGACCUCAGAGUCUGUGCUAUCAGCUCUCUGACAUCCAGGUGCUCACUGCCUCCCUCAGUCACAGGCAUGGCUGUGGGCACUGA
rnacentral:lncRNA from 1 species